rnacentral:lncRNA from 1 species
UCUGAUCUCCACUUCUCCAUCUGGAACUUCCCACUCUAACAAUGAGACCCCUGGCUGUCACCACAUGCCAUCCAUUUACAGUGUCUAAUCUCACAUAUGUAGUGGUUUUUGAAUGUUAACCUAUGCCUAUACACCACUGGGAAGCAACUUUAUCAACUAGAAUACAGUGCUUAUAUGCUGUUCCUUUUCCCUCUUGUCUUACAUAUUCUACUCAUUUCCAAAAUAAAUUAGGUUAGAUUUUUUUCUCCUUUAUCCCAUAUACUGAGGUUCUUUCAAAUGCUUGUAAUACAGUACGAUUAUUGUCAUAUUUUUAAUUCCAUCCUGAGAUUACCUUAUCUCCUAAGAUGAUUUUUAUGAAUUUUGCACAAAUUGAGGUUCAUUCUUUGCAUGGCGCAGCUCUAAAUAUUCUAACAAACAUAGUGUCACAUAUCACGUAUCAUACACAAUAGUUUCUCUGCCCUAAAAGUUCCUCUGUGCUUCACCUAGUCAAACUCCCCAACUCAAACCCUAGCAACUAUUGAUUUAUUUACUGUCAUUAUAAAUUUGGCCUUUCCAGAGUGUUUUGUGAGAGAAUCAUACAACAGAUAGCCUUUUCAGACUGUCUUCUUUAAUCUUACAAUAUGCAUUUAAGUUUCAUCCAUAUGUUUGCCUGGCUUGAUAGCUCAUUCCUUUCUAUUAUAAAAUUGUAUUUCAUUGUUUGGAUGCAUUACAGUUUGUUAAUCCAUUUAUCUAUUGAAGGACAUUUUGGUUGCUUCCCAGGUUGGGUAUUACAAAUAAAUCUUCUACAUAUAAUCACGGCAUGUUUCUGCAUGAACAUAAGUUUUCAGGUUAGCUAGGUAAAUACAUAGGAGCAUGAUUACUGGAUCAUAAACUAAGAUUAUAUUUAGCUUUGUUAAAAAAAAAAACUGGA